rnacentral:rRNA from 1 species
UGUAAGCGUAUACCAAAGUUGUUGCAGUUAAAACGCUCGUAGUCGGAAUUUGGCAGUUCCGGAUGUGUGCACGUCGUGUGCGCACUUCGCGGGGAUUGCUUUUGUGGUCUUGCGUAGGAUGAGGCACUUUUAUUAGUGAACGUCCUCACGCAACCACUUUUUACUGUGAGAAAAUCAGAGUGCUCAAAGCAGGCAUUUGCCGUGAAUGUAUUAGCAUGGAAUAAUAGAAUAGGACUUGGUUCUAUUUUGUUGGUUUGUUGGGACUGAGUAUUGAUUAAGAGGGACAGUUGGGGGCAUUUGUAUUUCGGUGCUAGAGGUGAAAUUCUUAGAUUACCGAAAGACAAACUGCUGCGAAAGCGUCUGCCAAGGAUGUUUUCAUUGA